rnacentral:rRNA from 1 species
UACAGAGGGUGCAAGCGUUGUUCGGAAUUACUGGGCGUAAAGCGCGUGUAGGCUGCAAUGUAAGUCGGAUGUGAAAGCCCUUGGCUUAACCAAGGAAGUGCAUCCGAUACUGCGUCGCUUGAGUGUCGGAGGGGUCGGCGGAAUUCCCGGUGUAGAGGUGAAAUUCGUAGAUAUCGGGAGGAACACCUGUGGCGAAGGCGGCCGACUGGACGAUAACUGACGCUGAGACGCGAAAGCGUGGGUAGCAAACAGG